GAUGAACGCUGGCGGCGUGCCUAAUACAUGCAAGUCGAGCGAACAGACGAGGAGCUUGCUCCUCUGACGUUAGCGGCGGACGGGUGAGUAACACGUGGAUAACCUACCUAUAAGACUGGGAUAACUUCGGGAAACCGGAGCUAAUACCGGAUAACAUGUUGAACCGCAUGGUUUAACAGUGAAAGACGGUCUUGCUGUCACUUAUAGAUGGAUCCGCGCCGCAUUAGCUAGUUGGUAAGGUAACGGCUUACCAAGGCAACGAUGCGUAGCCGACCUGAGAGGGUGAUCGGCCACACUGGAACUGAGACACGGUCCAGACUCCUACGGGAGGCAGCAGUAGGGAAUCUUUCGCAAUGGGCGAAAGCCUGACGGAGCAACGCCGCGUGAGUGAAGAAGGUCUUCGGAUCGUAAAACUCUGUUAUUAGGGAAGAACAAAUGUGUAAGUAACUAUGCACGUCUUGACGGUACCUAAUAAGAAAGCCACGGCUAACUACGUG
rnacentral:rRNA from 1 species